rnacentral:rRNA from 1 species
UACGGGGGGAGCAAGCGUUGUUCGGAUUUACUGGGCGUAAAGGGCGCGUAGGCGGCCACCGCAAGUCGACUGUGAAAUCUCCGGGCUUAACUCGGAAAGGUCAGCCGAUACUGCGGGGCUAGAGUGCAGAAGGGGCAACUGGAAUUCUCGGUGUAGCGGUGAAAUGCGGAGAUAUCGAGAGGAACACCUGCGGCGAAGGCGGGUUGCUGGGCUGACACUGACGGUGAUUGUGCGAAAGCUAGGGGAGCGAACGGG